AAAUUCAAAAACUCGUCAUUUGUUAAAUCCACUUGCGUUCUGGAUAUUGACUUCAAACUUUGCAAGCUAACCAAAUGUUUAAAGCAGUAAGACAACUCCGGCAAUUCUGUCCUUUUUUUGCGACAGUAUUCAAUCAAAUCAUUUAUUCCUUUCUGUUGAUCACGAAUCGAAGAAACUUUAUCAGCAGAUGCAUAAAGCGGAAUUGAGGAAGGAAACAACUUGUUAGAUAGCAGGUCGGCGAAUCGACUAAGUUCAUGCCCGAUCGAUUGAAAUGAAGCAGUGGGAGAUAUACUUGAGUGCUUCUGUAUAACUAUGGCAUAGAUUUGACAAAGCAUAGAGACAGCCUGCGCUCGAUUUUCGAAAUCGUGAUCAUAUCCCAGACUACUCACCUCAUUAAAUGAAGAAUUAUUAAAGGAUUCCAACGGCGAACCAUUCACACCAACUUCUGAAUAAACAUUUUUUAAGGCCAAUAAUUCAUUGGUAAAUUCGACUAGCUGUGCACGCUCACCUAACUGCAAAGAUAACAUACUGUUAAAUAAACCUACACCUUUUUGAACUUCAGGAACACUUAAAUCAUUA